rnacentral:rRNA from 1 species
UAGUCCGUACGAGCGCACCCUUGUCCCUAGUUGCCAGCACUUCGGGUGGGAACUCUAGGGAGACUGCCGGUGAUAAACCGGAGGAAGGUGGGGAUGACGUCAAGUCAUCAUGGCCCUUAUGGGGAGGGCUACACACGUGCUACAAUGGCCGGCACAGAGGGCUGCAAAGCCGCGAGGUGGAGCGAAUCUCAGAAAACCGGUCGUAGUCCGGAUUGCAGUCUGCAACUCGACUGCAUGAAGCCGGAAUCGCUAGUAAUCGCGGAUCAGAACGCCGCGGUGAAUACGUUCCCGGGCCUUGUACACACCGCCCGUCACACCAUGGGAGUGGGCUGUACCAGAAGUAGGUAGUCUAACCUUCGGGAGGACGCUUACCACGGUGUGGUUCAUGACUGGGGUGAAGUCGUAACAAGGUAGCCCUAGGGGAACCUGGGGCUGGAUCACCUCCUUU